GGAAGGUCAACAGAGGUGGCAUCCUUGCAAAAGCAAAUAAGGAUGAGCAUUGUGCUUCCUGACUGAUAGGUAUCCAAAGAUGGAAUAACCGAUUCAGAGGUUGUGGAUAAUUUCAAGGCCUAUCAAACUUCUUGCAAAAUUUUUUCCAUCAGCUGCAAAGACGUGGAGAACACUAGAAGAAAGACAACGAUUUGAGAGGCCCUGAACUGUGACUUUGAGUUUUGGUGCUUCACGUCACCUCCUAUUUUGGUAUCAACUGCAAAUAUCAAUGACGUGGGAAUUCCUAUUCUGGAGUACAAUUGAAGAUGCGAAAUGAGAAGUGUGUCACCAGAUGACCUUCUGAGACCCCCAAAUGGAUCACCCAGAGAGGUGCAAGCACUGUACCAGUUUCCUGUGCACGUUUCCAGGCAUUCUGUGAAUAUGUAAGCAAAUAUAGAUAUAAUUUCCCGCUUUGUCCACAAAUUGCAGAAUAUUAGACACAUCACCAAAAAUAUAGUGUGAAAUUUGUUCUAUAUCAGCACAUAUAAAGUUAUCUCAUUCCUUUCCAUAGCUGUGUAAUGUUCCAUUCCUUUACAUAGAUGCACCUUAAUAUAACCACUUCCCUAAUGAUAGGUAGAUAGGUUGUUACCAAUCUUUUGAUACCAUAGACAAUCUGUGAAUAUACAUCUUUGCUGUACCAAACAUCCAUGAAUAUACAUCUUUGCACAUAUGUACAAAAAUAUCUGAAGGUUAAAUUCUUAGAAGUGGAAUGCUGGGUCAAGGCAAGAAGUAGAUGCACAUUUUAUUCUGAUAUUGCCAAAUUCCCUUCCAAAGAAAAUGUACCUGCCCUUACCAAGAGUGCUGGGGGGGAGGGGGGUUUCUCUAUUUUCUCGCAGCCUUACUAAAUCUUUCUUAUUAAACUUAAAAAAAAAUCUUAAGCUAAUAGAUGAAAAAUGAUACUGGGUUGUUUCAUUUGAGGUUGACCAUCUGUUACGUGGCUGUAAGCCCUUUGUAUUUCUAGUUCUGUGAAUUUCCCACUCAUGAUUUUGCUCAUUUUUCUAUUAGUUUAUUGACUCUUUUUUUAUUGAUUUAGAAUGCCUCUAUGUAUUAAGGAAAUUAGCUCUCUGCCAUUUAUUAUGCAGGUAUUUUUCUCCGGUCUGGAGUUUUUCUGCUUUACUUU